CAAAUAAUUUGAUUUAGAAUGUACCACAAAUAUGAAAACGCGUGAACGAUUAUCUCCCUUUUGUGGAACUCUCCUGCUGAUAAAGAACAGAAAGUUGCUGUUGCAGCAGAAGUCGGAGAAGAAAAACACCAUGUAAAGAUGUAUAAAGCAGGUCUUGUGCGGUUACAGAGGACAUGACAGCAUCAAAAGUUUGAGAAUCAUGAUGAUAAUCAGUUGCAAUGUGAACUACCAAAUAACCAUUAAGUAAAAGCAGAUCCAGUUAGUGUGGAACAAAUAAAGGAGAAUCAUGAUGAUGAUGAGCUGCUAUGUGAACUACCAAAUAACCAUGAAGUACAACCAGAUUCAAAGCAUAUGGAACAAAUAGAGGUGGAAUCAACUUCAGACGACAACUUUUCCCAACACCUUGUGAAAGUCAUCUGAAUGCCAGGAUUCUCAAGAG